GCCGCGGUAAUUCCAGCUCUAAUAGCGUAUAUUAAAGUUGUUGUGGUUAAAAAGCUCGUAGUUGAACCUUGGGCCUGGCUGGCCGGUCCGCCUCACCGCGUGCACUGCGCCGGCCGGGCCUUUCCCGCUGCGGAACCCUAUGCCCUUCACUGGGUGUAGCGGGGAAGCAGAACGUUUACUUUGAAAAAAUUAGAGUGCUCCAGGCAGGCCUAUGCUCGAAUACAUUAGCAUGGAAUAAUAAAAUAGGACGCGCGGUUCUAUUUUGUUGGUUUCUAGGACCGCCGUAAUGAUUAAUAGGGACAGUCGGGGGCAUCAGUAUUCAGUUGUCAGAGGUGAAAUUCUUGGAUUUACUGAAGACUAGCUACUGCGAAAGCAUUUGCCAAGGAUGUUUUCAUUAAUCAGGAACGAAAGUUAGGGGAUCGAAGACGAUCAGAUACCNUCGUAGUCUUAACCAUAAACUAUGCCGACUAGGGAUCGGGCGAU
rnacentral:rRNA from 2 species